UUAAGUUAGAAAGGGCGCACGGUGGAUGCCUUGACACUAGGAGUCGAUGAAGGACGGGACUAACGCCGAUAUGCUUCGGGGAGCUGUAAGUAAGCUUUGAUCCGAAGAUUUCCGAAUGGGGAAACCCACCAUACGUAAUGGUAUGGUAUCCUUAUCUGAAUACAUAGGGUAAGGAAGACAGACCCAGGGAACUGAAACAUCUAAGUACCUGGAGGAAGAGAAAGCAAAUGCGAUUUCCUGAGUAGCGGCGAGCGAAACGGAACAUAGCCCAAACCAAGAGGCUUGCCUCUUGGGGUUGUAGGACAUUCUAUACGGAGUUACAAAGGAACGAGGUAGACGAAGCGACCUGGAAAGGUCCGUCGUAGAGGGUAACAACCCCGUAGUCGAAACUUCGUUCUCUCUUGAAUGUAUCCUGAGUACGGCGGAACACGUGAAAUUCCGUCGGAAUCUGGGAGGACCAUCUCCCAAGGCUAAAUACUCCCUAGUGAUCGAUAGUGAACCAGUACCGUGAGGGAAAGGUGAAAAGCACCCCGGAAGGGGAGUGAAAGAGAUCCUGAAACCGUGUGCCUACAAAUAGUCAGAGCCCGUUAACGGGUGAUGGCGUGCCUUUUGUAGAAUGAACCGGCGAGUUACGAUCCCGUGCGAGGUUAAGCUGAAGAGGCGGAGCCGCAGCGAAAGCGAGUCUGAAUAGGGCGUUUAGUACGUGGUCGUAGACCCGAAACCAGGUGAUCUACCCAUGUCCAGGGUGAAGUUCAGGUAACACUGAAUGGAGGCCCGAACCCACGCACGUUGAAAAGUGCGGGGAUGAGGUGUGGGUAGCGGAGAAAUUCCAAUCGAACCUGGAGAUAGCUGGUUCUCCCCGAAAUAGCUUUAGGGCUAGCCUUAAGUGUAAGAGUCUUGGAGGUAGAGCACUGAUUGGACUAGGGGUCCUCAUCGGAUUACCGAAUUCAGUCAAACUCCGAAUGCCAAUGACUUAUCCUUAGGAGUCAGACUGCGAGUGAUAAGAUCCGUAGUCAAAAGGGAAACAGCCCAGACCGCCAGCUAAGGUCCCAAAGUGUGUAUUAAGUGGAAAAGGAUGUGGAGUUGCUUAGACAACUAGGAUGUUGGCUUAGAAGCAGCCACCAUUUAAAGAGUGCGUAAUAGCUCACUAGUCGAGUGACUCUGCGCCGAAAAUGUACCGGGGCUAAAUACACCACCGAAGCUGCGGAUUGAUACCAAUGGUAUCAGUGGUAGGGGAGCGUUCUAAGGACAGUGAAGUCAGACCGGAAGGACUGGUGGAGUGCUUAGAAGUGAGAAUGCCGGUAUGAGUAGCGAAAGACGGGUGAGAAUCCCGUCCACCGAAUGCCUAAGGUUUCCUGAGGAAGGCUCGUCCGCUCAGGGUUAGUCAGGACCUAAGCCGAGGCCGACAGGCGUAGGCGAUGGACAACAGGUUGAUAUUCCUGUACCACCUCUUUAUCGUUUGAGCAAUGGAGGGACGCAGAAGGAUAGAAGAAGCGUGCGAUUGGUUGUGCACGUCCAAGCAGUUAGGCUGAUAAGUAGGCAAAUCCGCUUAUCGUAAAGGCUGAGCUGUGAUGGGGAAGCUCCUUAUGGAGCGAAGUCUUUGAUUCCCCGCUGCCAAGAAAAGCUUCUAGCGAGAUAAAAGGUGCCUGUACCGCAAACCGACACAGGUAGGCGAGGAGAGAAUCCUAAGGUGUGCGAGAGAACUCUGGUUAAGGAACUCGGCAAAAUGACCCCGUAACUUCGGGAGAAGGGGUGCUUUCUUAACGGAAAGCCGCAGUGAAUAGGCCCAAGCGACUGUUUAGCAAAAACACAGCUCUCUGCGAAGCCGUAAGGCGAAGUAUAGGGGGUGACACCUGCCCGGUGCUGGAAGGUUAAGGAGAGGGGUUAGCGUAAGCGAAGCUCUGAACUGAAGCCCCAGUAAACGGCGGCCGUAACUAUAACGGUCCUAAGGUAGCGAAAUUCCUUGUCGGGUAAGUUCCGACCCGCACGAAAGGUGUAACGAUUUGGGCACUGUCUCAACCAGAGACUCGGUGAAAUUAUAGUACCUGUGAAGAUGCAGGUUACCCGCGACAGGACGGAAAGACCCCGUGGAGCUUUACUGUAGCCUGAUAUUGAAUUUUGGUACAGUUUGUACAGGAUAGGCGGGAGCCAUUGAAACCGGAGCGCUAGCUUCGGUGGAGGCGCUGGUGGGAUACCGCCCUGACUGUAUUGAAAUUCUAACCUACGGGUCUUAUCGACCCGGGAGACAGUGUCAGGUGGGCAGUUUGACUGGGGCGGUCGCCUCCUAAAGUGUAACGGAGGCGCCCAAAGGUUCCCUCAGAAUGGUUGGAAAUCAUUCGUAGAGUGCAAAGGCAUAAGGGAGCUUGACUGCGAGACCUACAAGUCGAGCAGGGACGAAAGUCGGGCUUAGUGAUCCGGUGGUUCCGCAUGGAAGGGCCAUCGCUCAACGGAUAAAAGCU
rnacentral:rRNA from 1 species